rnacentral:tRNA from 1 species
GGUGAGGCCACCCGAGAGACGGCGACGGGCGCUGCUUCGAAACCAGUUGGCGGGCAACCGCGUAGGGGUUCGACCCCCCUCCUCACCG